rnacentral:rRNA from 1 species
GAUGAACGCUAGCUACAGGCUUGACACAUGCAAGUCGAGGGGUAACAAGGGGAAAGCUUGCUUUCCUUGUUGACGACCGGCGCACGGGUGAGUAACGCGUAUCCAACCUGCCUAUAACUAGGGAAUAACCUUGCGAAAGUAAGACUAAUACCCUAUGAUUUCCUUUGAUGACAUCAGAUUAGGAAUAAAGAUUUAUCGGUUAUAGAUGGGGAUGCGUCUGAUUAGCUUGUUGGCGGGGUAACGGCCCACCAAGGCAACGAUCAGUAGGGGUUCUGAGAGGAAGGUCCCCCACAUUGGAACUGAGACACGGGCCAAACUCCUACGGGAGGCAGCAGUGAGGAAUAUUGGUCAAUGGGCGGAAGCCUGAACCAGCCAAGUAGCGUGCAGGAUGACGGCCCUAUGGGUUGUAAACUGCUUUUAUACAGGAAUAAAGUUAGCCACGUGUGGUUAUUUGUAGGUACUGUAUGAAUAAGGACCGGCUAAUUCCGUGCCAGCCGCCGCAGUAA